GUCUAAGCGCAGCCUACUGCCUCUUGAUUUCGGCUCAAGAUGAGAAAUGACAUUUUCCUUAGAUU
rnacentral:tRNA from 1 species